rnacentral:misc_RNA from 1 species
UAGUUUGGUUAAUGUUGAAUUUCAAUGUCAAUAAGUUGGAAUGCCAAAAAAUAUAAUGUAAACGAUUUAUUGCCUGAGCCAGCCCUCUUCCUUUAUUUGAAGUUGUGAAAAGUGUUAAAAAUCCCCCUCUUAUUUGGACUCUAGUCUCCUUGGUUGUUACUUCCAUGCUCUUGUUUCUAGCAAAUAAUGCAUUGAUUGUUAUGGAGAGCUAGCGCUAGUUUGCUUCUUUAUUGAGGCUUUCAUAGUUCCAUUGACACCUUACUAUGA